GUGUGUCGGUCGGUGCGGCGGACGCUGGGUCGCUCGGUCGGCGUGGUGCAUACUCUCGGGCUCGCAUAUUAUUGGAUUGGCUAAUAGUAACAUUGACAUUGAUCUGUUGUUUGAUGAUAUAAUAGCCGUGGUGUGCGGUAUAUAAUAACAACACCAUCACACAUUAACCUCAUAGAGUGCAUGCAAUCAUCACGGCCCUAGCACUCCAAUAGACCGGCUCAAUUGUGCGAGCCGCGCCAGUUGGCGAUGAAUUUCGCCCGUCGACACACACACAUACACAGACCGGCCGCCGGACCCGCAAGUGCAACACACCGACGCCGAAAUCGGGAUGAAAAUCCAGCGCAGGACAGCGGAGCAGCGACUAAAUUAUAGGUUCUAGCUCGAGUCAAGUAAAGAUUCCUACUCUUCUAUAAGAUUGAAGGAGAGGCUUGCGCAUCACUUAAAGCAAUGCCCCAUCAUUGAUCUCUCUGCGUCAAGAGCAUUCACCGCUCGCAGGCGAGUGCACCUGACUGGCUGACGAAAAAGCGAGCAGCUUGUCUGUCAUCCCCGCGGGGGCUGCGAAAGGAGGCAAAUAUAUGGAGUCGGAAGGCACCGUCGUGAUUAAUGGUGCUGCUGCAGCAGCAACAACAACAACAACCGGGCCAAGCGUGCCAACCGGCCAGUCGAUGGACGGACGAGAGAGUGCGUGGGCACAUUUAUUAUUCAUGCGGGCAAUUUCCGCGCCGUAAUAAAUUAUUUAAGGUCAGCUUGGAAAUUUGACUGAUCAGCGUGAGCAGUAUAGAAUUCAUCACGAUGCAGCGAUUCUAACCACGAAGAUUUACGUAUGCUACAUAAAAAAAUGAUAAAUAAAUUUUGCCUAUGGUGUGUUUAUAACGACAUGUGACGCCAAAAUUAAUGGAGAACAUUUGUGGCAUUUUUAAUAAAGCAUGUGCAGCGUGUUGGCUGAAAGAAUUUUCGAGAGACUGCGUCAUUUAUCACGAACUAAUCCUGCCGAUUGACAGAAUUCAGAUUUUUGCCAAGCGAAUCCAUCACGGGAAAAAGUGAAGUGAAGGUAGGCAUGGCGCGUCUGCUCGCGUCGGUUGGGCCCCUCAUUAGUUAUCUCUCCGAGACCUGUCAAAAGCCCUCUCUCUUCCAUCCAAACAAAAAUGGCCAGCGAGAAAUAUGGCAGCCAAAAAGGUAUGAACUCGCCGUUUCCUAAGCAACGCAAUAUUUUCGUUAAUGAUUUUACACAUACGUUUUGCUCAUUUCUUUAAAUUUCCACGUCAAACGUCCCUGAAAUUAAAAUAAUCCGUUAAUUUAAAAAGAUUGUAAAAUGGCUACAAAUAGGCAAGAAUGUUAUUCAAGAAAAAUAAUAUUUGUUCAUUUUGUUAGCCUUCCAUUCCUAUUUGUUCACCUAUAAAAUCGUUUGGACGUGAUUCCUAGUGAAUGAAUGGCAAAAAUAAUAAUGUCAAACGUAUUUAUGCUGCACUGCUCGCUGUUUUGAUCCCUACAGGCCUCAUCAGUAAUACUUUCAAAACAAAAUUAGCACCAAAGCAUUAGCUGCAGAUAAUUCUGAAUCAAAGGUGAAAUUUGAUUCAAUAUGCUCGUUGAUUGUAAAAUGUUUCAAAUGCUUGUAAAUGAUUUUAUGCUCAAUAAAUUGUGUCUUGAAUAUCCUAAUUCGUGUAAUCUUCUUCCAAGCUAAACGAAGACUCAAAAGAUUAUUUCACGAGUGAACUAUGAAGGUAGUUUUUGUAACAAACCAAUUCCAAACUUGCUUUAUAAAUAAAGCUUAACCAAUUUUGAAGUUUAUCAUUGGUGUCAGUUUGCUUAAAUCUUUGUUAAAAUUGAUUAUAAAUUGAAAAUAUUGAGGGAAUUUAUUUUGCUCCGUCUUUGUUUGAUCUUCAAUACAAUGUAGCGGUUCCCGCACAUUCUCGCAUAAACUAUAUAAGUUUGUAUCAACCUUAAUCCUGUAAUAGAUGUCGCAUUUACUGUAUGAUAAGCGUUUCUCAACUUUCCACCUUUCACUGACCGAUCCAGUUAGUUCCGCACGCAAUGCUCAUUUCGCCUACUCGCUAUCCGGCUGGGAUAAAUCUUUUGUAUAAUUGAAUCUACUGAUGAUGUAUCUUAAAUAUAAUAGACCACAGGAGUAAGCGUCUCUCUAGUGAUACUAAAAUAUGUUAUAAUAUUAA